rfam:Myotis davidii contig322162, whole genome shotgun sequence.
GGCGGUUCUUGGGUGACACACCCUGGAAUCAGGCUCCCUCUUCUCUGGUUCCAGAUGUGUCACCCGAGAACCACU